CCCGCUGAACUUAAGCAUAUCAAUAAGCGGAGGAAAAGAAACUAACAAGGAUUCCCCUAGUAACUGCGAGUGAAGCGGGAAAAGCUCAAAUUUAAAAUCUGGCGGUCUUGCGGCCGUCCGAGUUGUAAUCUGGAGAAGCGUUUAUCCGCGUCGGACCGUGUACAAGUCUUCUGGAAGGGAGCGUCGUAGAGGGUGAGAAUCCCGUCUUUGACACGGACAACCGGUGCUUUUGUGAUGCGCUCUCGAAGAGUCGAGUUGUUUGGGAAUGCAGCUCAAAAUGGGUGGUAAAUUCCAUCUAAAGCUAAAUAUUGGCGAGAGACCGAUAGCGAACAAGUACCGUGAGGGAAAGAUGAAAAGCACUUUGGAAAGAGAGUUAAACAGUACGUGAAAUUGUUGAAAGGGAAACGCUUGAAGUCAGUCACGUUGGCCAGAAAUCAACUUGUAACAGGGCGUAAUUUCUGGUUUUACGGGUCAACAUCAAUUUUGAUUGUUGGAUAAAAGUCAAUAUUUAUGCGUUUUCGGACGUGUAGCCUUUGAUUGCAUACAAUGGUUGGGAUUGAGGAACUCAGCACGCCGCAAGGCCGGGUAACUUGUUACCACGUAACGUGCUUAGGAUGUUGGCAUAAUGGCUUUAAUCGACCCGUCUUGAAACACGG
rnacentral:rRNA from 1 species